UAAAUGAAGUAGAAAAAAUAC
ensembl:piRNA 21ur-691 ncRNA